rnacentral:tRNA from 1 species
GUAGAUAUAAUUUAAUAAAAAUGUUAGAUUGUGAUUCUAAAAAUAGAGGUUAAACCCCUCUUAUCCACC